GACGAACGCUGGCGGCGUGCUUAACACAUGCAAGUCGAACGGAAAGUCCCUGCUUUUUUCUGGUGCUCGAUUUGCGAUCGGGUGAGUAACACGUGAUUAACCUGCCCUUCUCUUUGUGAUAACUUCAGGAAACUGGUGCUAAUACCCGAUAGGUUCUCCUGCUUCAUGUUGUGGGUUUGAAUGUUUCGGCGGUUGGUGAUUGACUCGCCGCUUAUCAGCUUUUUUGUGGGGUAGUGGCUUACCAAGGUUUUGACGGCUAGCCGGCCUGAGAGGGUGACCGGGGACAUUGGGAAUGAGAUAAGGAACAGACUGCAACGGGAGGCAGAAGUGGGAAAGAGUGCAAAAUGGGAGGAAGAAUGAUGCAGAAACGCAGCGGGCGGGAUGAGGGGAAUCGGGUUGUAAACAGAAUUCGACUGUGACGAAGAGUGAGUGACGGUAAUGGGUAAAGAAGCACCGGCUAAGUACGUG
rnacentral:rRNA from 1 species